rnacentral:rRNA from 1 species
UACGGAGGGGGCUAGCGUUGUUCGGAAUUACUGGGCGUAAAGCGCACGUAGGCGGCUUUGUAAGUUAGAGGUGAAAGCCCGGGGCUCAACUCCGGAAUUGCCUUUAAGACUGCAUCGCUAGAAUUGUGGAGAGGUAAGUGGAAUUCUGAGUGUAGAGGUGAAAUGCGUAGAUAUCAGGAGGAACACCGGUGGUGUAAACGGCUUUCUGGACCGUAACUGACGCUGAGGCACGAAAGCGUGGGUAGCAAACAGG